rnacentral:rRNA from 1 species
GGUGAAAGGCUUGCUGCCUGAAGAAGAGCUUGCGUCUGAUUAGCUAGUUGGUGGGGUAAGAGCCUACCAAGGCGACGAUCAGUAGCUGGUCUGAGAGGAUGAUCAGCCACACUGGGACUGAGACACGGCCCAGACUCCUACGGGAGGCAGCAGUGGGGAAUUUUCCGCAAUGGGCGAAAGCCUGACGGAGCAAUACCGCGUGAGGGAGGAAGGCUCUUGGGUUGUAAACCUCUUUUCUCAGGGAAGAAGAAAGUGACGGUACCUGAGGAAUAAGCAUCGGCUAACUCCGUGCCAGCAGCCGCGGUAAUACGGAGGAUGCAAGCGUUAUCCGGAAUGAUUGGGCGUAAAGGGUCCGCAGGUGGCAUUGUAAGUCUGCUGUUAAAGAGUCACGCUCAACGUGAUAAAAGCAGUGGAAACUACAAAGCUAGAGURUGGUCGGGGCAGAGGGAAUUCCUGGUGUAGCGGUGAAAUGCGUAGAUAUCAGGAAGAACAUCGGUGG